rnacentral:tRNA from 1 species
GGUAAGAUGGCUGAGAGUUAGGCGGUAGAUUGUAAAUCUUCUUACAGGGCAGGUACCCUUUUUAUCA